rnacentral:tRNA from 1 species
GCCCGAGUGGCGGAAUUGGCAGACGCGCAUGGUUCAGGUCCAUGUCCACGCAAGUGGGUGGAGGUUCAAAUCCUCUCUCGGGUAC